CGCGUCCCGCUCUCGGGGGCAGCCGCCGGGCCUGCAUUUCUUGCAGCCCUCAAGGCCCCUCGGUGUCAGCGAAAGAGCCCUCAUGUUGUACCUCGGCGCCCCGCGGGAAUGCCCACCCAGCAGAGCCGGCCCACGGGGAGUCAGGCUGCCGGCCCGGGCCCCUAGGCUCCGCCCGCUUCUGGUCAGCGCCCCUCGCCCCCGGCCCGCCUGGCCGCGUCCCAGUCGCCAGGGUUUUCGGCCCGUGGGCCGGGAGAGCUCCCGCCGCGGCCCCGCGGGCGCCGGCCCCCUGGCCUCCACACCCCUAGGUUUCCUGUUGGCGGGGAAAUAAGAGGAAAAAUGGGAAAGGAAAUUCACGAAGUCGAAGUUGUGUGGUUAGAAAGUCCAGCUUUAUGACUCAAGCCUGUCGUGGAAGGGAUGAGAGCAGGACCUGUACCUAGACUUUUUACUUAAUAUUUUGGCACUGCCCUUGUGGUAGGGAAUUUGCAGCGCUCUAGUUGUUAAACUGGAAGGACAUUCAUUCUGCAACUUGUACCUCUUGCUUGAUCUGGGCCCAGAGAUAACUUACAUGUAUCUUCUUUAAACUUAUUUUUCCAAAUUAUUGUGGUUACUUUGAACACAAUUUGUUUCCAGAAAUUUUAGCAAUCUAAUAUAACUCAACCCUAGGCUUUAAAAAGUCUGUUUUUUAUUGUAUCAUUCAAAUCAUUUACAGAAGAGGAACUAUUGUCUAGACAGCUCCUCACCCACCCAAAGUUAGCUGACAAUUCAAUUUUAAGUAAGUGAUUUGUGGUCAAU
rnacentral:lncRNA from 1 species